CAAUAGCGUAUAUUAAAGUUGUUGCAGUUAAAAAGCUCGUAGUUGGAUUUGUGGCGUAUGGUGGGUUCUGGGCACUUGUUGUCUGAGUAACUUGCCGUUGCCAUCCUUGGGUGGAACCUGUGUGGCAUUAGGUUGUCGUGCAGGGGAUGCCCAUCGUUUACUGUGAAAAAAUUAGAGUGUUCAAAGCAGGCUUAUGCCGUUGAAUAUAUUAGCAUGGAAUAAUAAGAUAGGACUUUUUGGCUAUUUUGUUGGUUUGCGCUAGAAGGUAAUGAUUAAUAGGGAUAGUUGGGGGUAUUCGUAUUCCAUUGUCAGAGGUGAAAUUCUUGGAUUUUUGGAAGACGAACUGCUGCGAAAGCAUUUACCAAGGAUAUUUUCAUUAA
rnacentral:rRNA from 1 species